GGGCGUAUAGCUCAGCGGGAGAGCGCUUCGUUGACAUCGAAGAGGUCCCAAGUUCGAUCCUUGGUACGCCCACCA
rnacentral:tRNA from 1 species